GAUGAAGAACGUAGCGAAAUGCGAUACGUAAUGUGAAUUGCAAAUUCAGUAAUCAUCGAGUCUUUGAACGCACAUUGCGCCCCCUGGUAUUCCGGGGGGCAUGCCUGUCCGAGCGUCAUUGCUGCCCUCAAGCACGGCUUGUGUGUUGGGCCCCGUCCUCCGAUCCCGGGGGACGGGCCCGAAAGGCAGCGGCGGCACCGCGUCCGGUCCUCGAGCGUAUGGGGCUUUGUCACCCGCUCUGUAGGCCCGGCCGGCGCUUGCCGAUCAACCCAAAUUUUUAUCCAGGUUGACCUCGGAUCAGGUAGGGAUACCCGCUGAACUUAAGCAUAUCAAUAAGCGGAGGA
rnacentral:misc_RNA from 1 species